UAAAGCCGAAGAUUCUCCUAGCCGUUGUACGCACUCUGAGAACACGAAGCCCCACUACGAAAGUAGCUUUACCCACUACUUCCUGACUCCACGAAAGCUAAGAAACAAACUGGGAUUAGAUACCCCACUAUGCUUAGCCUUAAACCUAGAUGUGAACCUUACAAAUACAUCCGCCAGGGUACUACAAGCGCUAGCUUAAAACCCAAAGGACUUGACGGUAUCUCAGACCCACCUAGAGGAGCCUGUUCUAGAACCGAUAACCCCCGUUAAACCUCACCACCCCUUGUUUCCUCAGCCUAUAUACCGCCGUCGCAAGCUUACCCUGUGAAGGCCCAACAGUAAGCAAAAUGGUAUUACACCAGAACGUCAGGUCGAGGUGUAGCUCACGAGGUGGGAAGAAAUGGGCUACAUUUUCUAUACCAGAAAAACACGAAUAACACUAUGAAACUAGUAAUUGAAGGUGGAUUUAGUAGUAAAAAACAAAUAGAGAGUCUUUUUGAAUUAGGCUCUGAGAUGCGUACACACCGCCCGUCACUC
rnacentral:rRNA from 1 species